CGACAGCAAUAGUGAAGGUCAGGCUGAAGACCUUACCCGAUUAGCUGAGAGGUGGUGCAUGGCCGUCGUCAGUUCGUACUGUGAAGCAUCCUGUUAAGUCAGGCAACGAGCGAGACCCACGUCCACAGUUGCCAGCAUACCCUCCGGGGUGAUGGGUACACUGUGGAGACCGCCGCUGCUAAAGCGGAGGAAGGAGUGGGCAACGGUAGGUCAGUAUGCCCCGAAUCUCCCGGGCUACACGCGGGCUACAAUGGUUGGUACAAUGGGCAUCUACCCCGAAAGGGGAAGGAAAUCUCUUAAAGCCAAUCGUAGUUCGGAUUGAGGGCUGCAACUCGCCCUCAUGAAGCUGGAAUCCGUAGUAAUCGCGUUUCAACAGAACGCGGUGAAUACGUCCCUGCUCCUU
rnacentral:rRNA from 1 species